AAGAAGAGUCAGUUUCCGCGCGCGAGAGCCAAGCCAAGAUUCUGGAGGCUUCCCGCGCUAGCUGCAAGUGGACAGCGUUGCUCCCGCACGCCACCACCACCACCACACCCACCCUUCCUUCCUUUCCUCGAUCGAUCGAUCCGCAACAUGGCCCGCGGCGGCGGCGCGGACGCCGACCUGUACGCCGUCCUCGGCCUCAGCAGGGAGUGCACCGACGCCGACCUCAGGCUCGCCUACCGCAAGCUCGCCAUGAUAUGGCAUCCGGACAGGUGCUCGGUGGCCGGCGGCAGCGCGAGCGCGGCGGGCGUCGACGAGGCCAAGGAGCGAUUCCAGGAGAUCCAGGGCGCCUACUCCGUGCUCUCCGACUCCAACAAGCGCUUCCUCUACGACGUCGGCGUCUACGACGGCAACGACGGCGACGACGACGACGACGAAGCAGAUCUGUCGGGGAUGGGCGAUUUCCUCGGCGAGAUGGCGCAGAUGAUGAGCCAGGCGACGCCUGCGGAGAGCUUCGAGGAGUUGCAGCAGCUGUUCGUGGACAUGUUCCAGGACGACAUCGACGCCGGCCUCUGCCAGUCGACGCCGCCGCCGCCGUCAUGGCCGUCGCCUCCGGCGGCCGCCAAUGCACGAUCGCCGGCGGCGGCGGCGACUUCACGCAAGGGCGUGAACAAGCGGUGCUCACCGGCGGCGAUGGACAUGGACUCCGGUUUGAGCAGCCUGCUGGGCAUUUCGGGCUUCUGUUUCGAGGCGCCAUGGACGUCGCAGGACGCGAGCACUGCCGCCGGCGGUGGCGGCGGCAAGAGGAGAAAGCAGAGGCCGCCGCCGGCGAGCCACAACGUGUAGUUGGAUGUUGAUCAGCCGAAGCAACGUACCAGAAGAAGAUUUUGAUUGCCCAGUGCUCGCCACGAAGACUGACAUUUUUUUCUUUUUCUUCAUUUGUUCUUUUUGUUCAUGGCUGUACUGUAAAUAGAGAACACGCUCCAGAAUUUGGUUGAACAAACGGUGUAUAAUUAAUUUAGGAGUAAGAACAUGUUUCUAUUUGAUCAUUGAUCGUAAUGAGCUGAAUUUGUAGAUCUGGGGAACUCUUCCGAAACAGGAGUAGUGAGCUUCUACAGUGUCCCCCCCUCUGAAUUCUGAAUCGUGUGGUUUUUGG
rnacentral:lncRNA from 1 species